GAUGAACGCUGGCGGCGUGCCUAAUACAUGCAAGUCGAGCGAACGGACGAGAAGCUUGCUUCUCUGAUGUUAGCGGCGGACGGGUGAGUAACACGUGGAUAACCUACCUAUAAGACUGGGAUAACUUCGGGAAACCGUAGCUAAUACCGGAUAAUAUUUUGAACCGCAUGGUUCAAAAGUGAAAGACGGUCUUGCUGUCACUUAUAGAUGGAUCCGCGCUGCAUUAGCUAGUUGGUAAGGUAACGGCUUACCAAGGCAACGAUGCAUAGCCGACCUGAGAGGGGGAUAGGCCACACGGGAACUGAGACACGGUCCAGACUCCUACGGGAGGCAGCAGUAGGGAAUCUUCCGCAAUGGGCGAAAGCCUGACGGAGCAACGCCGCGUGAGUGAUGAAGGUCUUCGGAUCGUAAAACUCUGUUAUUAGGGAAGAACAUAUGUGUAAGUAACUGUGCACAUCUUGACGGUACCUAAUCAGAAAGCCACGGCUAACUACGUG
rnacentral:rRNA from 1 species